rnacentral:rRNA from 1 species
UACCAGCACCCCGAGUGGUCGGGACGAUUAUUGGGCCUAAAGCAUCCGUAGCCGGUUCUGCAAGUCUCCCGUUAAAUCCAACUGCUCAACAGGUGGGCUGCGGAGGAUACUACAGAGCUAGGAGGCAGGAGAGGCAAGCGGUACUCAGUGGGUAGGGGUAAAAUCCGUUGAUCCAUUGAAGACCACCAGUGGCGAAGGCGGCUUGCCAGAAUGCGCUCGACGGUGAGGGAUGAAAGCUGGGGGAGCAAAAGGG